ensembl:miRNA
UAUCCUGAGAAGGCACAGCUUGCACGUGACCUCCUGGGCCUGGCGGCUGUGUCCUCACAG